rnacentral:rRNA from 1 species
CGGAGGGUGCGAGCGUUGUUCGGAAUCACUGGGCGUAAAGUGCGUGUAGGCGGCCCAUUAAGUCUGAUGUGAAAGCCCGGGGCUCACCCCCGGAAGUGCAUUGGAAACUGAUGGGCUGGAGUCCCGGAGAGGAGGGUGGAAUUCCUGGUGUAGCGGUGAAAUGCGUAGAUAUCAGGAGGAACACCGGUGGCGAAGGCGGCCCUCUGGACGGUGACUGACGCUGAGACGCGAAAGCGUGGGGAGCAAACAGGAUUAGAUACCCUGGUAGUCCACGCCGUAAACGAUGAGCACUAGGUGUCGCGGGUAUUGACCCCUGCGGUGCCGACGCUAACGCAUUAAGUGCUCCGCCUGGGGACUACGGCCGCAAGGUUA